rnacentral:rRNA from 1 species
UACGGAGGGUGCGAGCGUUGUCCGGAAUCACUGGGCGUAAAGAGCUCGUAGGCGGCUUGUCGCGUCGACUGUGAAAUCCCGCGGCUCAACUGCGGGUCUGCAGUCGAUACGGGCAGGCUAGAGUUCGGUAGGGGAGACUGGAAUUCCUGGUGUAGCGGUGAAAUGCGCAGAUAUCAGGAGGAACACCGGUGGCGAAGGCGGGUCUCUGGGCCGAUACUGACGCUGAGGAGCGAAAGCGUGGGGAGCGAACAGG